rnacentral:rRNA from 1 species
AUUGAACGCUGGCGGCAGGCCAAACACAAGCAAGUCGAACGAGUGGCGGGCGGGUGAGUAAUGUCUGGGAAACUGCCUGCUGGAGGGGGAUAACUAAUGGAAACGGUAGCUAAUACCGCCUCCCCACAGAUGUGCCCGGAGGGGAUGAGUGCGUUGGGGGGGUAACGGCUCACCAAGGCGCCGAUCCCUAGCUGGUCUGAGAGGAUGACCAGCCACACUGGACCUGUGACCCGGUCCAGACUCCUACGUGAGGCAGCAGUGGGGAAUAUUGCACAAUGGGCGCAAGCCUGAUACAGCCAUGCCGCGUGUAUGAAGAAGGCCUUCGGGUUUUAAAGUACUUUCAGCGGGGAGGCGUUACCCGCAGAAUAAGCACCGGCUAACUCCGUGCCAGCAGCCGCGGUAAUUC